rnacentral:rRNA from 1 species
GACGAACCGUGCGAACGUUGUUCGGAAUCACUGGGCUUAAAGGGCGCGUAGGCGGCAGACCAAGUCCGGGGUGAAAUCCUGCAGCUUAACUGUAGAAGUGCCUUGGAUACUGGUUUGCUCGAGGGAGGUAGGGGUCUGUGGAACUUCUGGUGGAGCGGUGAAAUGCGUAGAUAUCAAGUGGAACACCAGUGGCGAAGGCGAGUCCCUGGACAACUCCUGACACUGAGGCACGAAAGCUAGGGGAGCAAACAGG